GGAGCUGUUGGACAACGCCUAGUGGAAUGCCCAAUCUCCUUGCAGAAACCACACACUGGAGGCAUCCAGGGACUUGAGACAAGAACUCUAGUUAUGACCCCAGACUGAAAUUGAACGUUCACCGCCUCCGGUAGCGGCUUCCGAGGAUCGAUGAUAGUGAAUACUUUCGCAACCUCCAGAUUAGUUUUAUUAGCUGUCGAAGGGUGCAAGAACUUGGGAUCGCCGACCAGACCUGCAAUACGCUCCAGCCCGUCCUCA
rnacentral:lncRNA from 1 species